UUGCUGUGGUAUUUUGACUAUACGAAGGUAUUGAAAUAAGAUUUUAAAUGAGUGCUAAGAGAAUGAUUAAACAAUUAAAAGCUUUCUUUAAUUAAAUAAUUGAAUUUAAUUUUUUAGUGCAAAAGCAAAAAUAAAAAUUAGGGACAAGAAGACCCUAUGAAUUUUUUAUUAAAUUUUAUAUAAAGUUUUAUAAAAUUUAAUUUAAUUGGGGUGAUGGAAAAAGAAUAAAUAUCUUUUUUUUUAAAAAAAAUUGGUUCCGUUUUUAGCGAUUAAAUGAAAAAAAUACUCUAGGGAUAACAGCGUAAUAAUUUUGGAUAGUUCAUAUAGAUAAAAUAGUUUGCGACCUCGAUGUUGGAUUAGGAUUCUUUUUUGGUGAAGAAGUUAAAAAAA
rnacentral:rRNA from 1 species